UCUAACUCACCGUGUUUCCUCAGCUGCUAGUGCUCUGCUCUCCACCAUCACUUCCACCUGCAACCCUAAUAUUAUCGUAUUAGAGAAGUGGACGGUAGAGAAAGGAGCCAUUAUGGCUAAAUCUUUCUAGUCUUGAGAUUCACUACUGUCAAAGAUUAACCAUGAUUCCGGCCCGAGGGAUUGAGGUUCAUUGGUUCACUCAAAAAGUGUUGGCAAUCCGUGAAGAAUUUCAGAACAGGGUUCGAGGAGAGGAUUUCGACAAAAUCUGCCACAAUAUUCCUUCAGUAAGGAUCCUUCCACCUCUAAAUCGUAUUUUGAUACAGAUAUGUCUUGAACAAAAGCUUUAAUUCUGGAAGCCUUUCAUUCAGUGAUGUAUUUUUCUCCGCCUUCUUCUAUUUCCCAUUGUUUUUGUUUAACUCCAUUUUAUAGCUUCAUAUAUCAGAAUAUAUAGUGAGUACUACACUUUUUAUCAUUUACCUGCUCCUUCCUUCCUACUCGAAUCCAUGUUCUGAAUACUGUGAGAUCCAAGCUGCUUUUCGUAUUUACUACUGCAGAUGAUGCCAAAGAAUCUGUAAAGAAGGGAAUUCGCUUGAGGUGAAAACCUUCUGAAGUUUUUUGACCAUGGGCUUAUUUUUUGCUUAUCUCUGCUGCAGAUUGCUGUUAGUUAUCUUGAUAAUUGAUAUUUUAACCUUUCUGGUCAAGUUGUGCAUUUCUUAAUGAUUGAAGGCCUGCUUUUGUUUCUGCUUCCUCUCACUAAUUUGUUCUAUUGUGACUGGAGUGGGUUUGAAUUCAGUUAGUUAAAUUGAGUCCAAGUUGCUUCCUCUCACUAAUUGAAUUGAGGGUUGAUAUCAAAGUGGGUGGCAUAUGAUUCUAGGUAGUCAAUGAAUUGUUUCUUGGUGGCGUAAUCAGGGUAAUAAUCAGGGAAGGGGAACUUAUUAGCUAUCCCGAAUAACAAGACAGAAAUGAAACCAUAUCCAUUUUAUCUUUCAUAUCCAUUUCUGUUCAGGUGGACUCGUUCUAGUUUUGUUUGGCUCAUUUCUUGUCUUGUUCAUCAGAUGUCUAAUGACAAAAGAAGUUCCUUUGCACCUGUUUCUCUGGCUCAGUAUAUCUGAUGCUGUCUUCCAUACAAACAAAAACUUGGUCCUUAAAUUAAUCCAGGAUCAAUAGAAUCUUCCCUUGUACUACUAUUAUAUAUCAUUUGUCUAAAUUAUACUACUGCUUCAUAUGGAUUGCUGGUGGUAGUAUUUUAGCUUCACUCUGAUGGAUUUUCUGAAAAAGUUUAAAUGAAUCAGAAAUAAGAAAUUUUUGGGUUCAAUUCCACCAGAAUUUGGUUUAUUUCUUGGUCGGAAUUCUGAAUUUUUACUGGAUUGUUACUGGAAAUGAUGGAAUUGAUGACCCACCCCACUAGUUACAAUAUGAUGUAGUUUUGCAGCAUGAUAUUUAUACCAGUUUUCUUCAUUGAAAGUGGUACUGAAUUCAAGAGAACCAAUAGUGCAGCAAACUUUGGCUACCUGACAAUAACUCCGUACAACCAUAUAAAAAUGUUGAUAGUUUUCUAGAAACUAAUUAAGUUUCAGCUUUUGUUGGUGGCUGGAAGAUUCUCCACAGGCUUUUGCUGAUGAAGGUGGAGUUCUCCACAGGCUGCAGGAAGACUUGGCUUUUGGUGAAGGUGGUAGCGCAGAAGUUGUCCCCAAGGUGCUUGCAUCUCCAUGUAGGAGGAGGAGAGGUCUGCCUGACAAAUUUGCUGCAACAUAUCAAAAAGAUUAGUAGAGAAAAUAUAAUUUCUGCACGUAGUCCCUUUGGAUGAUUAUAGUUAAGUGGGGAACAAUUUAUAGCAUUUCUUGGGAUCUAAUGGUUUUUUUUAAAUUGCUUUGCAUUCUUUCUCAAAAUUAAGGAGCUUUUGUAUAAGUGCUCUUCCUGUAUUCUAUUUAGCAAGUACUUGACUGUGUGUGAAUAGGUCAUCUGACAGUCUUAAGUUUUGUAUUUUCCAACAUCUCCUCCAAAGAAGCUGGUAAAUAUUAGUACAAAGGUUCGGUCGUGUAUUUAUCAUAUUGUGUUA
rnacentral:lncRNA from 1 species